rnacentral:rRNA from 1 species
AUUGAACGCUGGCGGCAGGCCUAACACAUGCAAGUCGAGCGAGCGGCGGACGGGUGAGUAAUGUAUGGGGACUGCCCGAUAGAGGGGGAUCACUACUGGAAACGGUGUCUAAUACCGCAUACUCUCGGAUAACCCAUAUGGGAUUAGCUAGUAGGUGGGGUAAAGGCUCACCUGGGCGACGAUCUCUAGCUGGUCUGAGAGGAGGAACAGCAAAAUGGGGACGGAGACAAGGCCAGGACUCCGACGGAGGAAGCAGUGGGGAAUAUUGCAAAAUGGGCGAAAGCCUGAUGAAGAAAUGCGGCGUGUAUGAAGAAGGCCUUAGGGUGGUAAAGUACUUUAAGCGGGGAGGCGGUACCCGAAGAAGAAGCACCGGCUAACUCCGUGCCAGCAGCCGCGGUAAUAC